rnacentral:misc_RNA from 1 species
UCUGGCUUAUAGCCAAGCGGUUCCGUUAGAGUGCCCAACUUAAUGAUGGUAACUAACGGCGAGGGUUGCGCUCGUUGCGGGACUUAACCCAACAUCUCACAACACGAGCUGACGACAGCCAUGCAGCACCUGUCACUGCGUCCCGUGAGGGAACCCCUACUUUCAUAGGGUAGCGCAGGAUGUCAAGUCUAGGUAAGGUUUUUCGCGUAGCAUCGAAUUAAACCACAUGCUCCACCGCUUGUGCGGGCCCCCGUCAAUUCCUUUGAGUUUUAAUCUUGCGACCGUACUUCCCAGGCGGGAUACUUAACGCGUUAGCUACGAUACUGAAGCUAUUAGGGACUCCAACAUCUAGUAUCCAUCGUUUAGGGCGUGGACUAC